rnacentral:lncRNA from 1 species
GCUGAGGACCCGGAGGCUCGUGGUUUGUUUGGGCUGUUGGGGGUGCGCGCACAGCCCGGGAAAAGCGGGAAAUGGCGGCGCCGAGCGCGGGCUCCCAGUCAGCCCUCCAGCCAAAGGAGCAGAUGGCCGCUGAUAGGGGGCGCAGGAUGUUGAGAGGGUGUGGCAUGCAUCCUGACCAUCAGGAAGCUCUCAAAAAGAACCGAGUGGUGUUGGCCAAAGAGCUGCUGCUGAGCGAACUGUUGGAACACCUCCUAGAGAGGGACAUUAUCACCUUGGAAAUGAGAGAGCACAUUCAGGCCAAGACGGGCAGUUUUGGCCAGAACGUGGAACUCCUCAACUUGCUGCCCAAGAGAGGCCCCCAGGCCUUUGAUGCCUUCUGUGAAGCCCUGCACGCCUGA